CUGUGUGCAGAGCUGACCGGCUAUUGCAAGUCACUGAGUGCAGAAUGGCUAGGAGUGCUUAAGGCCUUGUGCUGCUCCUCUAACAAUGGCACUUGUGGUUUCAACGAUCUCCUCUGCAAUGUUGAUGUCAGUGACCUGUCUUUUCAUGACUCGCUGGCUACUUUUGUUGCCAUCCUCAUCGCUCGGCAGUGUUUGCUCCUGGAAGAUCUGAUUCGCUGUGCUGCUAUCCCUUCACUCCUUAAUGCUGGUGAACUACCAAUCUGUAACCCCUAGCAUUUCUAGACCUCAAAUUUCAAUACACACUGGACGGCCAUCCUCUCAUUGUUCACUGUGGGAGACCUUGCUGCGG
rnacentral:sRNA from 1 species